ensembl:lncRNA
GCGUCCUCAAAGGCCUGCACCUCUCCAGCGCCACGGCCGCCGCCCUCCACCAGACCAACCAGACCGGCCCGGCGUUCCUCCAGCCCUCCCCCAACCCGGCCGCCCCGCCGCCCGCCGUGCCCGCGGCGGCGGCCCUGGGGCUGCUGGGAUGCGGCGCGGCCAACGCGGCGCCCGCCACCACUCAGGUCCUCAUCGGGAACAACAUCUGUCUGAGCAUGCCGUCGGCCGCCAGCCUGGCCGGGCGCCACAUCCCCCGCACCCUCGGCACCGUGCCACCCUCUGCCUUAAAGCUGUCCGCCACCACCAACCUGCAGAUGCCCAAAGUCUCGGGAGCGGCGUCCAUGGACAUGAGCGCCAGGGAAAACCACGACGAGGACAAGCCGGCCCUCAACAGUAUAGCAGAGAACACAGUGGCCAUGGAGGUGACGUAGUAGCGGCGCCGGGACGGGACGGGACGGGACCGGGCCUCUCUCUAGGUGCUGUGCAUCGUAGCAUCGGGAAUGCAGAAGGGACGGCGGGACUCGGACGGGAGCGAUCUUCAUCUCUCAUACUUUUUAAGAAAAACAAACAUAUUUUUCCCCCCCCAUCUCUUUUUGUUACUGUUAAAAGUUAAAAAGGAAAAAAAAAAGAAAAGAAAAGAAAAAGGAUAAAGUAUCGACACCUGUAAAUUAUGAAUAUGGCAAAAAUUAGUAUCUGUACAGUAACUUACAUAUUUGUAAUUCCCCCCCCUUCUUGUAUAUAUUACUUGAAUACAGAACUGUCCAUUUGUGAUGUUUUGCACUUGGGAGUCAAAGUUAACGGAAAAAAAAAAACAUAGUAAGCCAAGUAAGUUGUGGCGAGUGUGAGAGAGGUGGGAGUUGUAUAGAGAAGAUUUUAUCACAUCAUGUGCAUGGUGCGGAGCCUGCUGGUUUUAUCUAUUUAUUGUGCUGUGUUUACAGUUUUUUUUUUCUUCUGUUUGGUUUUUCAUUUCUUUUUUUGUUUUGUUUUUGUUUAUUUUUUUUUUAUUAUUUGUACACUGUACCUUUGUUGGUUCCUGUGCUGUAGUAAAUGUUAGGUAGCUACGGACUCCUGGGUAUUUUGUAUAUGUGAACACAAGCAGGUUCCCAGCCCUCCCUUCUUUUUCUUUUGUUCUUUGUUUUAAUUUUAAUUUUUAAUUUUUUUAAUUUUCCCAGUCCCUGUGCUUCUUUUUGUGUGGAUCAUGUGGAAAUCAGUGACGUUCAUGCAGGAAGAGGGAGCUUCCAUUUACAUUAUCCCCCCAACACAAGUAACAAAACAGGGAUGAAGUCUCUUCCCAGAAGCCUUCGCUGCUUCUGAUUUAAAGCACUAUUCGUUUUUUUCUCCGUUUUUUUUUUUCUUUUUUUUUUCCGUGUAUGGUUUUGAUAAAUACCAAUGCUGCUUUUGUAUUUGUUUUUUCUUAAACGGGACGUCCAUUUUCAUGCAAGCGACGCCCCCCUUUUUUUUUUUUUUUUCAUCCAAACAUUUUUGUAUUUUUGUAUUUUUUUUUUCUUGUGGUAAAUCGAUUGUAAGCUUUUUUGUUUCCGUUCAUCGAAAGACUUCAUUCUUCCGUUGGUUUGUUACUUGUUCAUGCAUAGGUGAUAAGGGAGGCGGAUGGGCGGCGAUCGCUGUACGUGUUUCAUCAUUCCAGUUUUUAAUAACGAGAAAAAAAAAAAAUAAUGCUCACGAGGAGACGGACGGACGGGUUCUCCUCUCCGUCUCACCCCUCCUUUUCUUUACGUUCUUUUUUUUUUUUUUUCUUUUCUUUGAAAAAAGAAUCUCCAGACGGCUGUAAGGCCAAAAACCACAAGUAUUGGGUGCCUUCCUUUGGGGAAUUUAAUGUUCUCUCUUCUGUGAAGAGUUAGGCACAAAGGCAGCAUUACUUAGUAGUGCUUCUGGUCUUUGUCAGAAUCUGAAUGCCCAGUCCAAUGGCAGGAUGUAUCUUUGAGGUUUACUUGUCCCACCUGGAGGCUGAAAAGACUAAAAAAUUAAACAAAAAAAAAAAAAAAUGUGACAGAACUCUCACUAAAAUAAGACAAUAAAGCCCAGGGCAUUAAAUGUGAACCGUUCGGACUCUGGUGUCGUUUAUUCUGCAGUGU